rnacentral:rRNA from 1 species
UGGGGAAUAUUGCACAAUGGGCGCAAGCCUGAUGCAGCCAUGCCGCGUGUAUGAAGAAGGCCUUAGGGUUGUACAGUACUUUCAGCGGGGAGGAAGGGAGUAAAGUUAAUACCUUUGCUCAUUGACGUUACCCGCAGAAGAAGCACCGGCUAACUCCGUGCCAGCAGCCGCGGUAAUACGGAGGGUGCAAGCGUUAAUCGGAAUUACUGGGCGUAAAGCGCACGCAGGCGGUUUGUUAAGUCAGAUGUGAAAUCCCCGGGCUCAACCUGGGAACUGCAUCUGAUACUGGCAAGCUUGAGUCUCGUAGAGGGGGGUAGAAUUCCAGGUGUAGCGGUGAAAUGCGUAGAGUUCUGGCGGAAUACCGGUGGCGAAGGCGGCCCCCUGGACGAAGACUGACGCUCAGGUGCGAAAGCGUGGGGAGCAAACAGG